rnacentral:lncRNA from 1 species
UAAUGAUCCUGUGGAGCAGUGUAUGAUGCAACAGUUAGAGUAUUGAGCCAUAUUCGUAUCUUUCUCUUUCAGCCAAGGUUUACAGAAUUUUAAAAACUUGGUCAAAACUUGACCUUUUCCUCCUAGUUUUUACAUUGUUCAGAACUUUUUUUUGAUUUUUAAAAAGUUUGCUGUGUUUAAUGUCCCAAUAGUACAAUUAUUUUGAUAGCUGUAUUUUGGAAGUCAGACUUGAUUCAGUCUCAGUACUAUAGGUAUUAAAUUGGCACUAACUGUGAAAACAUGAAAGUUUUGUCAAACCCGUGUGCUCCUGAUCACAUAUGUUCUUGAAAUGGCAGUUGGUAAGGGAUUUCACCUGUUUUUCAUGUAUCAUUGAAGCUGAUAUUGACACUAUACCAAUGACAUACUCCAAAUCACUCCAAAGUGAUUCUGGUGUGAAGCCAAGACUGAGAGCCAGCGUCUUGCAUAGUUGUACAGAAAGGGUGGGUAUUGACACCUUAGAGAAGCUUUGAAACAUUAGUGGCUGACAAGCACACAGUUGGUAGUUAAGUUAA